UACGUAUGCGGAAAAUUAAGUCAGUAGUGAAAUCCUGCAGCUUAACUGUAGAACUGUUAUUGAUACUGGUUUUCUUGAAUAUAGUUGAGGUAGGCGGAAUGUGUAAUGUAGCGGUGAAAUGCUUAGAUAUUACACAGAACACCGAUUGCGAAGGCAGCUUACUAAGCUAUGAUUGACGCUGAGGUACGAAAGCGUGGGGAGCGAACAGGAUUAGAUACCCUGGUAGUCC
rnacentral:rRNA from 1 species